AGAGCUCCGCAAGCGGUGAAGUAUUUCGUUGGUUCCAUGAUCAUCCCUGUCUUCGUGUAUCAUAAAAGGAUGUUUCACUCUCUUUUCAACGAAAGGGACCACAAUUUUUAUGUUUUGCGGAUGUUAUUAUUAUUAUUAUUUUUUUUUUUAAUUCGUUUUCGACAAUAUUUUGAGAGCGGCCUAUUGCGCACUUUGCGCAAAUAUUCCCUCAACAUGCCCCAUCAAAUGGACACGGAGUGCUUCUGACUGUGGAAGGAUCCGAAAUUGAAGUGCGGGGAAAAUAGCAACAACAAAAUCAAGGUCGUCUCUCCAAAAUGAGCUCAUCACAGGCAGAGAAAUGAGCACCAUCACAUGACGGGCUGCGUGCACGGACGUGGCUGAUCAUUGCGCAUCAAUCCACAGGGGCAGAUGAUCCACUACAAAAUGAAUCCCCCCACGCCUCAGCGCAAU